CUGUUUUCUCAUCUGUGAAAUGACGGGUUGGACGGCCUUGUCUCUGAGGCCUCAUCCAGUUCCACGUACAGGAAGAUAUAAAUGCAAAUGUGCAAAAAAAGGAAGAAGGAAAGAUGGACCAAGUUCACCUGUUUGGUACGUACAGGGUCCACAGCUCUGCAGAAAGGGGAGAAACCUGGUAGACAGAGGGCCUGACGCACCAUAGCAUUGAGCACAUUUUCCACUGCUUAAUUAUGUGUGAGAUUUUCCCUUUUAAAAUAAAUCUAUGGUCUGUGAAAUAGUCUGUAUAAAAAUAUGAAGCCUUGAAUAGGCCAGUCAUAGCAGUUCCGUCUUGAAUAGAACUCAAUUUUACAAGCACGGAGUGAGAGUAUCAUUCCACUGCAAACUCUUUUAUUUCCACAACAUAUUAGAUCUCAUUCUGCUUUAGUAGAGUUACCUCUUAAGUACGACUAUUAGUCAUUUCAUUAAUAUGAAAAUCUGGGAAGGCCCACAUAAAAUACCAACAUAAUUGCUGGCUACCAAGAUAAAAUUAUUUAGGCAGAUUCCAGCCCCAAUGGUUCAAUGAUAACAAAACUACAAAACAUGGGACAUCAAAUUCAUUAAUAAAAUUAUUAAGUCACCUCUUCCAUCGAAUGAUGAGAUUUUUCUUAUUCACUGUUUCCCAUCAGGGAAAAAAGAAUCCUCCCACCUCAUGCCUUUUUUUUUUUCUGAUGCCAGGAAUUAGUAUUCAUUGCCUCUUUAAGAGGCCAAUGCAAAAAAAGGUAGAAAAAGCCCUAGCCCAGGAGUUGGGAUUGCCAGUUGUAGUCCCUGGGUUGCCUUGCUGGGGGUGCCUAAGUCAGUGCCAUAACCUCAGUUUUUCUAAUCUGUGUAACAUGGGGAUAGAGUAUAUGAUUUCCAAGGUCACUUUCACCUCUGUGAUUGAGCCUCUAAGAAAGCCAAAUCUUUUCACUUUGUAAUCAUGACAUUUUUAAAAGAUGGAGUUAAUAUGAAUGGGAAACUUUUUUUUUUUUGAGCCAGGGACUUGCUAUGUUGCCCAGGCUGGUCUUGAACUCCUGAACUCAAGUGAUCCUCUCACCUCAGCCUCUCAAAUAGCUGAGACUACAGGCACACACCACUGCACCUGGCUAAAGACUAUAUUCUUAAAGAAUAAAAGUACUGCACUUCACCUCUAUCUCCUGGUAUCUCUUCAAUUCAAACACACCAUUAAUGACUACAAUAUUUUAUUUAAGGCCGGGCGCAGUGGCUCACGCCUGGUUAAUCCCAGCACUUUGGGAGGCCAAGGCAGGCGGAUCACUAGGUCAGGAGAUCGAGACCAUCCUGGCUAACGUGGUGAAACCC
rnacentral:lncRNA from 1 species